AUUCGGCUACGGCUUCCCGCCCUAAAAUUUUCCGAAGGCAAAUUCUUUCCACCCAAAACACCAAAGUUCACUGUCGAAACCCAUUUUCCCCCAAAUUUCGACCAAGUCAAACCUAGGGCAAGAAAAAAAAUUCUGCCAAAAACCCAAAUCUCCUCCACUAAAUUAAUCAGAUCCCGUAAACCCUGAAUCUCCUCUACUAAAUCGCCUAACUCUCUUCCACUAAAUCUCCCAAAUCUCUUCCAUCACUUGUUUCUUUAGUUCCCGAUAGUAGCAAUAAACAGUGAAGUCGUCACUUUGCCACCUCCGCCGCCGCAAACAACUUACAUUAUAUCAACUUGUCUUGACUAAUUUCUUUAUUCAACUAUGUUAAUAUCUCUUAGGUCUACGUCGAAAGUGUGAAAUGAUGCUAAUUUUUUUUUUUUUUUUUUUUUUUCCCUUUCUUCCCCCAACAAGACAGGCUUCCACAAUGCGAUGUCGGUUCAAAGCACUAUCACAUCUAUCAGCUUUGGAAGUCCUACAUUAAAAAGCCAACUGUACUAGUUGGACCCAUCCUUGGUGCUGCUGUAGCAAUUGACUUUGCAGUGAACUAUCCUGAAGCUGUUGGAAAGAUGGUUUUGAUCAACCCCGGUGUUUAUGCAAAAGGCACUGAUAACCUUGCAAAAUUACGUAAGAUAGUAGCCUAUGUUGGGAAGUUGUUUUAACUUUCACAGUGGUAUCUUAAUCCAUUCUGCUCGGAAGGUGUCUAAAAAAGGGGCUAAUAUCUCAUGACAAAAAGGACCCCGGGAAGUGUUGAAUGUGGGUUUUAUAUAAUAAGAUACGUGAGAGAUAUAGUUGAGAAUGGGUUGGCAUUACUGAAAGACAAUUUCUUGGGAAAAGAAACAUACAAAGAUGCAAAGGUCGAUAAAGUCAGAGCAGAAUGGGCAAUGUACGUAUCAAACUUUUUUUAGUUAUUGUUUCAACGAUGUCAGAGGGCAAUGAGGGCAAAAACUAUGCAUCAAACUUUUCAUUUGUUUACGCAAUAUUGUAAAAUAGUUACUGUUGUUCAAUUUUGUUUACCCAGAGCAACAAUAAUAUAUGUACCAUUCGAUCAAUUAUUUGAUGUCUCGUUGCAUAUUGUUGAAUGGUGAUAAUUGUUGG